UCUUGUGACAUUACCUGGUUAUGACCUGGUUAUAACCUGGUUAUAUCCUAAGACAUUACCUGGUUAUAACCUGGUUAUAACCUGGUUAUAUCCUGAGACAUUAC
rnacentral:miRNA from 1 species